rnacentral:rRNA from 1 species
UGGGGAAUAUUGGACAAUGGGCGCAAGCCUGAUCCAGCAAUGCCGCGUGUGUGAAGAAGGCCUGAGGGUUGUAAAGCACUUUCAAAAGAGAAGAAGGGCGCAGAUUUAAUACCUUUGCGCAUUGACGUUACCUUUAGAAGAAGCACCGGCUAACUCUGUGCCAGCAGCCGCGGUAAUACAGAGGGUGCAAGCGUUAAUCGGAAUUACUGGGCGUAAAGCGCGCGUAGGCGGUUAGUUAAGUUGGAUGUGAAAGCCCCGGGCUUAACCUGGGAGGGUCAUUCAAAACUGACUAACUAGAGUGUGGUAGAGGGUAGUGGAACUCCUAGUGUAGCGGUGAAAUGCGUAGAGAUUAGGAAGAACACCAGUGGCGAAGGCGACUGCCUGGACCAACACUGACGCUGAGGUGCGAAAGCGUGGGUAGCGAACA